rnacentral:tRNA from 1 species
UGGGGUGUAGCUCAGGGGUAAGAGCGGUUCUCUGAUAAAGAACAGGUCGGUGGUUCGAUUCCACUCAUCCCAAC